rnacentral:snRNA from 1 species
AGAGAUUCAAAAAAGAAACGCCG